GACGAACGCUGGCGGCGUGCUUAACACAUGCAAGUCGAACGGAAAGGCCCUGCUUUUGUGGGGUGCUCGAGUGGCGAACGGGUGAGUAACACGUGAGUAACCUGCCCUUGACUUUGGGAUAACUUCAGGAAACUGGGGCUAAUACCGGAUAGGAGCUCCUGCUGCAUGGUGGGGGUUGGAAAGUUUCGGCGGUUGGGGAUGGACUCGCGGCUUAUCAGCUUGUUGGUGGGGUAGUGGCUUACCAAGGCAUUGACGGGUAGCCGGCCUGAGAGGGUGACCGGCCACAUUGGGACUGAGAUACGGACCAGACUCCUACGGGAGGCAGCAGUGGGGAAUAUUGCACAAUGGGCGGAAGCCUGAUGCAGCAACGCCGCGUGCGGGAUGACGGCCUUCGGGUUGUAAACCGCUUUCGCCUGUGACGAAGCGUGAGUGACGGUAAUGGGUAAAGAAGCACCGGCUAACUACGUG
rnacentral:rRNA from 1 species